CAAAUAUAACUUAUCGAGAAACAAAUUUGUUCCUCACGUUGAUUAACAUUAAUCCUUACCAACACAAUUUAUUGCCACUUUUCAUUUUUUUUGUGAAUCAAUGAGAUCAACUCGGUGACCCUAGUAAUUCGUAAGCAGCAAAGCUAGAGUAGAAGAGAAUAUGGGUCAAUCUCAAAGUCACACUUCCGCCCCCGCCAUUGAUGACACCUCAAAGGCCCCACCUUCUUCCAUAGAAUCUCUAAUUGCAGGUGAGGACUGGCUGUUUGGUGAGCUUGUUCCCACAGCAUUUGGUCAUGGGUUUUGGAGGAAUGUAACAUAGUCUUCCUCAAGGAAGUCAUGUAAAACUUUCCUCGAUUAAGUCAUCCGUGUGGGUUGUCUUUGCAGUGGAAGAGAUUCCAAAGCACUUUGAUUUAAGAGAUAUUGUCUGAACUGAUUUAGGGGUUUGAAAAGGGGAGGUCCAGUCUGUAGCUGUUGGUUCAAGAACUCCGAAUUCCUCUCUUAAUAGCAGCCAUAGAGGGCUUCUUUAGGCCUCAUCUCCACAUUCAGUGUUGCUGUGUUGUCGCCCUUUUUGCUCUUAGCAAGGCUUGGUAUGAAUGUAUGACGUGGUUAUAUAUUAUCAUGACCUAGAGUUAAUUUUUGUAAAAACUAAUGUAAAUGUAAACAGUAAAAGCAGAAAUUAACCAAAAUCCACCUUAGCAUAAGGAAGGCCAUGGAGGUAAUUAUUCUGUGUAACUGUGUAAGUGGCUUCUAGUUUGAAAGCUUACUUAAUCACUUAGGCUAUAAAUCCAUUGGCAAAGACAUGUGCUUGACUUGCUUGGGUGUAUGGUUGCAUAGGGAAGGCUAGCUGUGCUGAAUGCAUAACCAAAUAAUUGACAGGAGUUGGGCAUUACAGCAAUAUCUUGAUAACGAAGAAGAAAGACAGCGACAAUGAUGUUUCAAGGCUAUUCUUGUCUCUUGUAAUACGUCAAUUGAUUAUUACUGGAAAUUCAACCUAUAUUUGUGCAUGUUAUUGCUAAUGAAUAUAUUAUUAGUAUUUUGAGCUUAUAUAAUAUCUUGGUGUUGCAGAGGCAGCAGCAUACGGUGAUAGCGAGAAAGAGUCUAUUGAUGAAAAAGCUAGAAAGGCGUUGGAAUGCCCAUGUAUAGCUGACUUGCGAAAAGGCCCAUGCGGUACUCAAUUUUCGGAGGCCUUCCUCUGUUUUCUUAAGAGCACUG